UACGAAGGGGGCUAGCGUUGCUCGGAAUCACUGGGCGUAAAGGGUGCGUAGGCGGGUCUUUAAGUCAGGGGUGAAAUCCUGGAGCUCAACUCCAGAACUGCCUUUGAUACUGAGGAUCUUGAGUUCGGGAGAGGUGAGUGGAACUGCGAGUGUAGAGGUGAAAUUCGUAGAGAUUGGGAAGAACACCAGUGGCGAAGGCGGCUAUCUGGACGGUUUCUGACGCUAAGACGCGAAAGCGUGGGGAGCAAACAGG
rnacentral:rRNA from 1 species